rnacentral:rRNA from 1 species
AUUGAACGCUGGCGGCAUGCCUUACACAUGCAAGUCGAACGGUAACAGGUCUUCGGAUGCUGACGAGUGGCGAACGGGUGAGUAAUACAUCGGAACGUGCCUAGUAGUGGGGGAUAACUACUCGAAAGAGUGGCUAAUACCGCAUGAGAUCUACGGAUGAAAGCAGGGGAUCGCAAGACCUUGUGCUACUAGAGCGGCCGAUGGCAGAUUAGGUAGUUGGUGGGAUAAAAGCUUACCAAGCCGACGAGCUGUAGCUGGUCUGAGAGGACGAUGAGCAACACUGGGACUGAGACACGGCCCAGACUCCUACGGGAGGCAGCAGUGGGGAAUUUUGGACAAUGGGCGCAAGCCUGAUCCAGCAAUGCCGCGUGCAGGAUGAAGGCCUUCGGGUUGUAAACUGCUUUUGUACGGAACGAAAAGCCCUGGGUUAAUACCCUGGGGUCAUGACGGUACCGUAAGAAUAAGCACCGGCUAACUACGUGCCAGCAGCCGCCGUAAGAC